AGCCUCCCAAAGUGACAGCCACAGCCAUAUGUUAUUGUUUUUACAUAUAUUUUAUUGUGUAUAUUUGAGGUUUACAACAUGAUGUUAUGGGAUACCCAUAGAUAGUAGAAUGGUUACUGUAGUGAAGCAAAUUAACAUAUCUAUCAUGUCACUUGGGUCAUAUGAUAAUUCUAUUCUUAAUUUAUUUGGGAACCUCCAUACUGUUUUCCAAAAUGUCUACAUAAAUCUACAUUCCCACCAACAUGUACUGGGGUUCCCUUUUAUUCACACCCUUGCCAACAUUUGUUAU
rnacentral:lncRNA from 1 species